rnacentral:rRNA from 1 species
UACGUAGGUGACCAGCGUUGUCCGGAUUUACUGGGCGUAAAGAGCGCGCAGGCGGUCGUUCAAGUCGAGUGUGAAAGCCCCCCGGCUCAACUGGGGAGGGUCACGCGAUACUGAUCGACUCGAAGGCAGGAGAGGGAAGUGGAAUUCCCGGUGUAGUGGUGAAAUGCGUAGAUAUCGGGAGGAACACCAGUGGCGAAGGCGACUUCCUGGCCUGUUCUUGACGCUGAGGCGCGAAAGCUAGGGGAGCAAACGGGG